rfam:Macaca mulatta chromosome X, whole genome shotgun sequence.
AGGAGUGUGAUCAAUCAGGCUGAGACAUCUGUUACUGCAUUGAUUGCCAGAGGUGACUUGGAUGAUCAGGCUUGUGAAAUAGGUGGCCCCAUACUACUUUGCUGCCCCAAGUACAUCUGUCUCAAAGCUUACACUGCUGGAAGGGGAUGAUCAUCCCUAUUAAAGGAGGAUCAUUCUCUGGCCAGGAGUAGAGAAAUAGGUAAUGCAUGUUUAGGGGUUCACUUUCCUGCUUCAACCUCACACAAGCUCUUGAACUCAAUGACUCAUUACUAUAAUGUAUUCUGCAUUCAGU